CAACUAUCAAGCCUCUAGGCUUGUGUUGGGCCCUGCGGCUGCCCGCAGCUCCCUAAAAGUAGUGGCGGGCUCGCUGUCACACCGAGUGCAGUAGUUUCUCCUCGCAAGGUUGUUACAGCGGGCUCUAGCCGUAAAACACCCUAAACUUUAA
rnacentral:misc_RNA from 1 species